rnacentral:rRNA from 1 species
UACGGGGGGGGCAAGCGUUGUUCGGAAUCACUGGGCGUAAAGGGCUCGUAGGUGGCCAACUAAGUCAGACGUGAAAUCCCUCGGCUUAACCGGGGAACUGCGUCUGAUACUGGAUGGCUAGAGAUUGGGAGAGGGAUGCGGAAUUCCAGGUGUAGCGGUGAAAUGCGUAGAUAUCUGGAGGAACACCGGUGGCGAAGGCGGCAUCCUGGACCAACACUGACGCUGAGGAGCGAAAGCCAGGGGAGCAAACGGG